GGCAUAGUCAAGUACUUACAAAGUCGGUGUGUGAGUCAAGAUGAAAUUAACCCCUCUGAAUUGAUUUGAUUAGAAUUUGAUCAAAACUAUUUGCUACCUAAUUAGAUUGAGUUUAAUGGUCCAAUUGGGUUUAACCUAAUUUGAUUGGGUUAAGAAUCUAACUGGAUGAGAAAAAUAAUUCGAAUUCAAAUUCCUUGCACC
rnacentral:lncRNA from 1 species